GUUAUAUGGUCAAGUGAAGAAGCGCAUACGGUGGAUGCCUUGGCAGUCAGAGGCGAUGAAAGACGUGGUAGCCUGCGAAAAGCUUCGGGGAGUCGGCAAACAGACUUUGAUCCGGAGAUGUCUGAAUGGGGGAACCCAGCCAUCAUAAGAUGGUUAUCUUACGCUGAAUACAUAGGCGUAAGAGGCGAACCAGGGGAACUGAAACAUCUAAGUACCCUGAGGAAAAGAAAUCAACCGAGAUUCCCUUAGUAGUGGCGAGCGAACGGGGACUAGCCCUUAAGUGGCUUUGAGAUUAGCGGAACGCUCUGGAAAGUGCGGCCAUAGUGGGUGAUAGCCCUGUACGCGAAAAUCUCUUGGUCAUGAAAUCGAGUAGGACGGAGCACGAGAAACUUUGUCUGAAUAUGGGGGGACCAUCCUCCAAGGCUAAAUACUACUGACUGACCGAUAGUGAACUAGUACCGUGAGGGAAAGGCGAAAAGAACCCCGGAGAGGGGAGUGAAAUAGAUCCUGAAACCGUAUGCGUACAAGCAGUGGGAGCCCACUUUGUUGGGUGACUGCGUACCUUUUGUAUAAUGGGUCAGCGACUUAUUUUCAGUGGCGAGCUUAACCGAAUAGGGGAGGCGUAGCGAAAGCGAGUCUUAAUAGGGCGUCUAGUCGCUGGGAAUAGACCCGAAACCGGGCGAUCUAUCCAUGGGCAGGUUGAAGGUUGGGUAACACUAACUGGAGGACCGAACCGACUACCGUUGAAAAGUUAGCGGAUGACCUGUGGAUCGGAGUGAAAGGCUAAUCAAGCUCGGAGAUAGCUGGUUCUCCUCGAAAGCUAUUUAGGUAGCGCCUCAUGUAUCACUGUAGGGGGUAGAGCACUGUUUCGGCUAGGGGGUCAUCCCGACUUACCAAACCGAUGCAAACUCCGAAUACCUACAAGUGCCGAGCAUGGGAGACACACGGCGGGUGCUAACGUCCGUCGUGAAAAGGGAAACAACCCAGACCGUCAGCUAAGGUCCCAAAGUUAUGGUUAAGUGGGAAACGAUGUGGGAAGGCUUAGACAGCUAGGAGGUUGGCUUAGAAGCAGCCACCCUUUAAAGAAAGCGUAAUAGCUCACUAGUCGAGUCGGCCUGCGCGGAAGAUGUAACGGGGCUCAAACCAUACACCGAAGCUACGGGUAUCACGUAAGUGAUGCGGUAGAGGAGCGUUCUGUAAGCCUGUGAAGGUGAGUUGAGAAGCUUGCUGGAGGUAUCAGAAGUGCGAAUGCUGACAUGAGUAACGACAAUGGGUGUGAAAAACACCCACGCCGAAAGACCAAGGUUUCCUGCGCAACGUUAAUCGACGCAGGGUUAGUCGGUCCCUAAGGCGAGGCUGAAAAGCGUAGUCGAUGGAAAACAGGUUAAUAUUCCUGUACUUCUGGUUAUUGCGAUGGAGGGACGGAGAAGGCUAGGCCAGCUUGGCGUUGGUUGUCCAAGUUUAAGGUGGUAGGCUGAGAUCUUAGGUAAAUCCGGGAUCUUAAGGCCGAGAGCUGAUGACGAGUGUUCUUUUAGAACACGAAGUGGUUGAUGCCAUGCUUCCAAGAAAAGCUUCUAAGCUUCAGGUAACCAGGAACCGUACCCCAAACCGACACAGGUGGUUGGGUAGAGAAUACCAAGGCGCUUGAGAGAACUCGGGUGAAGGAACUAGGCAAAAUGGCACCGUAACUUCGGGAGAAGGUGCGCCGGUGAGGGUGAAGGACUUGCUCCGUAAGCUCAUGCCGGUCGAAGAUACCAGGCCGCUGCGACUGUUUAUUAAAAACACAGCACUCUGCAAACACGAAAGUGGACGUAUAGGGUGUGACGCCUGCCCGGUGCCGGAAGGUUAAUUGAUGGGGUUAGCUAACGCGAAGCUCUUGAUCGAAGCCCCGGUAAACGGCGGCCGUAACUAUAACGGUCCUAAGGUAGCGAAAUUCCUUGUCGGGUAAGUUCCGACCUGCACGAAUGGCGUAACGAUGGCGGCGCUGUCUCCACCCGAGACUCAGUGAAAUUGAAAUCGCUGUGAAGAUGCAGUGUAUCCGCGGCUAGACGGAAAGACCCCGUGAACCUUUACUAUAGCUUUGCACUGGACUUUGAAUUUGCUUGUGUAGGAUAGGUGGGAGGCUUUGAAGCGUGGACGCCAGUCUGCGUGGAGCCAACCUUGAAAUACCACCCUGGCAACUUUGAGGUUCUAACUCAGGUCCGUUAUCCGGAUCGAGGACAGUGUAUGGUGGGUAGUUUGACUGGGGCGGUCUCCUCCUAAAGAGUAACGGAGGAGUACGAAGGUGCGCUCAGACCGGUCGGAAAUCGGUCGUAGAGUAUAAAGGCAAAAGCGCGCUUGACUGCGAGACAGACACGUCGAGCAGGUACGAAAGUAGGUCUUAGUGAUCCGGUGGUUCUGUAUGGAAGGGCCAUCGCUCAACGGAUAAAAGGUACUCCGGGGAUAACAGGCUGAUACCGCCCAAGAGUUCAUAUCGACGGCGGUGUUUGGCACCUCGAUGUCGGCUCAUCACAUCCUGGGGCUGAAGCCGGUCCCAAGGGUAUGGCUGUUCGCCAUUUAAAGUGGUACGCGAGCUGGGUUUAGAACGUCGUGAGACAGUUCGGUCCCUAUCUGCCGUGGACGUUUGAGAUUUGAGAGGGGCUGCUCCUAGUACGAGAGGACCGGAGUGGACGAACCUCUGGUGUUCCGGUUGUCACGCCAGUGGCAUUGCCGGGUAGCUAUGUUCGGAAUAGAUAACCGCUGAAAGCAUCUAAGCGGGAAACUAGCCUCAAGAUGAGAUCUCACUGGAACCUUGAGUUCCCUGAAGGGCCGUCGAAGACUACGACGUUGAUAGGUUGGGUGUGUAAGCGCUGUGAGGCGUUGAGCUAACCAAUACUAAUUGCCCGUGAGGCUUGACCAUAUAACACCCAAGCAAUU
rnacentral:rRNA from 1 species